UACCCUUUUCUACGGAAUAGCUCUGGGAAACUGGAAUUAAUACCGUAUACGCCCUACGGGGGAAAGAUUUAUCGGGGAAGGAUUGGCCCGCGUUGGAUUAGCUAGUUGGUGGGGUAAAGGCCUACCAAGGCGACGAUCCAUAGCUGGUCUGAGAGGAUGAUCAGCCACAUUGGGACUGAGACACGGCCCAAACUCCUACGGGAGGCAGCAGUGGGGAAUAUUGGACAAUGGGCGCAAGCCUGAUCCAACCAUGCCGCGUGAGUGAUGAAGGCCUUAGGGUUGUAAAGCUCUUUCACCGAUGAAGAUAAUGACGGUAGUCGGAGAAGAAGCCCCGGCUAACUUCGUGCCAGCAGCCGCGGUAAUACGAAGGGGGCUAGCGUUGUUCGGAAUUACUGGGCGUAAAGCGCACGUAGGCGGAUAUUUAAGUCAGGGGUGAAAUCCCAGAGCUCAACUCUGGAACUGCCUUUGAUACUGGGUAUCUUGAGUAUGGAAGAGGUAAGUGGAAUUGCGAGU
rnacentral:rRNA from 1 species